GAGGGUGUAACUCAGUUGGAAGAGUGCUUGUCUGCCAUGCACGAGGCCCUGGGCUUGAUCCCCAGCACCCUCA
rfam:Ictidomys tridecemlineatus contig052700, whole genome shotgun sequence.